GCUGCACCGUUUCCAUCUCUGAAGGGCCCUCAUUCAGGAAACCACUGGACCACAAAGACAUGAAUUUAGAGACGUUGAAUCAACCUGGGAAACAUUUGGAGACGCCAAGCAUAAUCCAUCACCAAUGUGGGACGCCACUGAAGAAUGUUGUAAAUAAUUUACGUCUCUGGAGACAUUGGUUGUUCUGUUCUGGGUGCCCUGGCAGGAGAGCUGGAGGUGGAUGAUGGAAUGUUAUUUGGCAUGAGGUUUUUACCCUGCAUGAUUGUUUGGCCUUUUAUGGCUCAGUGGUGUGUGUGUUUGGGUUUGAAAUUAAAUGGAUGCGUCCGUCCGUCCGUGCGUCAGUCCGUGCGUCCGUCCGUCCGUGCGUCCGUCCGUGCGUCCGUCCGUCCGUGCGUGCGUCCGUCCGUCCGUCCGUGUCCGACUCACACCUGGCAUGGGGUUCUACGUGCGUGUCCUGGGUUCUAUGUGUGCGUGUCCGGCUUGCUUUGACAGUGAUAAUGUUCAUACGGGGGUCUGUGUGAUUGGCUUGGGAUAUUGGAAUGGUCAAAUAAAUCAUACCUCAUGGAUGGCCACACGUUUACUGAAGGGCCUCCAGUAGACAUGAAGAGCCCAGAGCGACGCUCCGGAGCGAUAUCCAACACACUGGGCAGGAAGGAGAGUAUCCAAAUCAAGUAUAAAAAGGAUGCAAGCGGCGUGUUCAGAUCAGUGACUUCCAACUAGGACUACACCAAUCAGGAUCAAUGGAGGAUGGACACCUAAAGGCAUUCCACAAGGAGAGUCUGAAGUUGGAAAGGGUCCUCAAUGGAUAUUCAAGAUGACCUUCAGACCUGUAAUGAGACGGCUCUUCCUACCUGGCUGGAUUGAUGGAGAGCCCUGUGGAUCUUGUCUUGCUCUCAGUUGCACGUCUUCUCAGGCUGAACUGUAUUUGUUUCGGACAGGACUAGCUGAACGAUUGGUUCCCUUAAAUCAGAACCAAUCCGGAAACUCCAGCUAGUGCGCUCUUCGAGCUGAAGUUGUGCUCUUCAGCUGAGGAGGUAAGGAAACCUUCAAUGGGGCUUCAAGGUGUAAAGAGGAGAAUGUUUCAAAGUGUUCCAUUGUACUCUGAUGAAGCCCGUUGUUGUGUUCCACUGGCUGAGAGGAAGAACCUACACAUCUUCAUCUUGGCCUUUCUCCUCUGAGAAUCCUGCCGCCAUCUUGAAGGAUAUUCCAGCUCAUCUAACUGAUGUCACGGCAGAUUCUCAAACACUUGGUUUCUCCUGAGGGGCGUGUCUAUAGAACUGAAGACUUCAGACAGCACUGUAUCCCAGCAUGCAUCUCUGCUCACUCAGACCCCACCCCCAUGAGUAGGAUGCAACACUCUAGUAAUGGAGAUGCAGAGUUUUAUAAGUAACGUGGGAGCAGACUAAGGUGAUUAGAACACAAUGGCAUGUCAAGUCUGUAAAUCUUUAAACAAUGAAGAUGGUUGGAUAGUUCAGGAAUUGGGCUUUUUAAUACGGGCAGUCCUUUCACUCAGAUGCCCACUUCGCACUGGAGCUGUACAUGUGUUGGCUGGCUGGCAUGAUUUGCUGUUGGUGAUGAGGCGGUCAGGAUGACGUUGCAGGGCUAUGGUCGGCUCUCUGUGAGCUCAACGUUUAGAUUUGCUCUGUAUGGUUUGUACCCUGAAUAAUCUAGAUAAUUGUAAAAUGUAGACACGGUUUUGUAUUGAAUGAUUCCAGGAUUUUAGGUUUAAAGUUGUUUAAACGGACGUACAUGGUAGUUUGGUUCUUCGUACGGUUUUGAGUGAUACAACUUGUACACACUGGGUGCAUAAUAAUGGAAAGGUACACUGAAUUGUAGUUAUGACCAACAGCAACAAACAGAUCUCCUCAAGGUAAGUCUGUUGGCUGUGUUUUAAUGAAGACCAUCGCUGGACUUCAGGAUCUUCCUCCGUUCAGCUCAAGGUGAGGCGCUGGUUCUGUUUUUUCUUUGGUUGGUUCUGGCCGGAAUGUUCCGCCGGAACAUUCUGGCCGGAACGUUCCGCCGGAAUGUUCCGCCGGAACAUUCCGGCCGAACAUUUGGGCUUCCCGCCGUGGAAGGUUCUGAGUGCGAUCACUUGAUUUAGUCCCAAUGGUUAGCAUAGAACGUUGUAGUCUUGACAACCAUAACAAACCACCUGGCAGUUAGUUGGACGGGAGUCCCCUGAGGGGAUCUGGCGGAACGUUCUGGAUUGUAUUUGCGUAACCUCGAGCCGUUGCCAACGGAAACAAUUUUCAGGCGGUUUCCAUUGGGAAUUGUUGCCCCCUAUCUUAAACAACUUAAGUUAGAUAUUAAAUACAUACUGACACGUACGUCGUACAAUAUAUUAAUUUCCGAUAGUUGCGCCGUACUUUUAGCCACGAUGACGUGACGGGACUCUCACUGCGUACAAAACAGCGUUCUACUUGCGGGCCCAUUUUUGACAUCAGGGAAGGCUGAAAAUCAUUUCAAGGUAGAAGAUAAUUUGACAUUUCUUCAACGGAACCCAGCACCUGAAUAUGGCUGAGUAUAUUUGAUUUAAUAUCGAUACUGCUUAGUGUUCUUUGUUACUUCAGCUUUUGUACAUUCUAAAUAUCUGCUGUCAUUAAUUGCCACAGAAGUUAAACCCUACCCAAUGGAAUGACGUUAAACGACUCUGGUACAGCUUUACCAACUGGAUAAUAUCAAAGCUAAAAUAAUGGCCGUCAUUCCCACAUGUUACAGUAGAAGAUACUCUAGAACUAUACAAGGUUAAAAAGGUAACAUGUAGUUUGUCCCAAGGUGUCUGCCUCCUCACCCAGAGCAAGACCUCCACCUCCUCCCCAGAGCCAGACCUCUACUUCCUGUCAGAAGUCCUCCAGAACAGCUGAAAGGCGAGGCUGAGAGGCUGGGGACCGGAGGCUUGUGGUGCCAGGGUGGACCGGAGACUGGGGCUGGAGACCAUGGAGCCUGCAGCACCGGACCAGAGGACCAGGAAUCCAUGGCUGAAGGAGCUGAUGGAGGUGCCGUGCUGAAGGAGCUGAUGGAGGUGCCGUGCUGAAAGAGCUGAUGGAUGAGCCGUGCUGAAGGCCCUGGGCUGGUGGAAGAGCUGGUGGAGGCCCUGCCUGGUGAAGGACGUCUGUCGUGGGACCAGGACUCUGUCUGAGGAGAGCUGCUGGAGGAGCUGAGACGCUGGAGGACGACUAGGAAUCAACCAACAAGGAUUCCUCUAGAACGUGUUUCUGGAGUGGAGGCGAGCUGGUAGGGGAGCCGUGAAUCUGGAGGAUGACCAUCACUCUACCAACAAGGAUUACUUUAGGGCCAGACUCGCGCUGUUUGUUCCAGACCAGGACUCUGGCUGAGGAGAGCUGAUGGAAGAGCCAAGACUCUGGAGGAUGACAUCACUCUACCAACCAGGAUCCUCAGACAAAUUACGUUUGUAACCAGACCAGGAAUCUGGAGGACUGAUGGAGAAGCCUACAUCUGGAAGGCAAAUCCUGAGGACAACCAGGACUUGACCAUCAAGGAUUCCUUAUAAGUUUGCAUCAUCUGGACAUAGUGGACUAGGCAGACACACCUGAGCUGAACCUCACCUGAUCCUGUUUGGUCGGGGGUAGACACACCUGCGCUGAACCCGCCCUGAUUCUGCUGGCCCGGUCUCCUCAGUUCAUCUGAGCCUCGUCCUCCAGAAGACCUGCUGAGCUCAGCGGUCUGAGGCUGAUGGAUCAAUGACCUCCAGUGGGAGUGAUCUUCUUGACCCCACAUGUAACCGCGUGCUUCAACACGCCUUUCCCUCACUUCUGUCACUAACCUCACUAAUUCUCUACUGCUUCCUCUUUCUUCUUUAUCUGUGGUUCAAACCUUUACACUGAAGGCACGUCUUCCUGCCCUCAGAGGGUUCAGCGUUAGGAUUAAGAGUCAGGGUUUAGAGUCAGGGACAGAGCUGGUCAGCGAGGACUGCUUUUACACAAACCUCUUCACUUGCUUUCGGAAUGGUGGUGACAUUUUGAAAAGAUUCAUUUGGGAAAAUGUUUUCCUCUGCUUCCUUUACAAAAUUGUAUUCAACUUCUGUCAAGUGUUUUUGUUUAGAUAUUAAAAUCCCUCAUUGACUUCUA